rnacentral:rRNA from 1 species
UACGUAGGGUGCGAGCGUUGUCCGGAAUUAUUGGGCGUAAAGGGCUCGUAGGCGGUCUGUUGCGUCAGGAGUGAAAACUCGGGGCUUAACCCCGAGCCUGCUUCUGAUACGGGCAGACUAGAGGUAUGCAGGGGAGAACGGAAUUCCUGGUGUAGCGGUGAAAUGCGCAGAUAUCAGGAGGAACACCGGUGGCGAAGGCGGCUUCCUGGACAAAAACUGACGCUGAGGCGCGAAAGCUAGGGGAGCAAACAGG